rnacentral:rRNA from 1 species
GAGGAAAAGAAACCAACAGGGAUUGCCCCAGUAACGGCGAGUGAAGCGGCAACAGCUCAAAUUUGAAAUCCGGCCUCGGCCCGAGUUGUAAUUUGCAGAGGAUGCUUCGGGCGCGGCGCCUCCCGAGUCCCCUGGAACGGGGCGCCAGAGAGGGUGAGAGCCCCGUACGGUUGGACGCUCAGCCCGCGUGAAGCUCCCUCGACGAGUCGAGUAGUUUGGGAAUGCUGCUCCAAGCGGGAGGUACAUUCCUUCUAAAGCUAAAUACCGGCCAGAGACCGAUAGCGCACAAGUAGAGUGAUCGAAAGAUGAAAAGCACUUUGGAAAGAGAGUCAAACAGCACGUGAAAUUGUUGAAGGGGAAGCGCCCGUGGCCAGACCCGGCCGUGCCGAUCUCCUGGUGCUCGCACCGGUGCACUCGGCACGGCGCAGGCCAGCGUCGGUCUUUGUCGGGGGACAAAGCCGCUGGGAACGUGGCCCCCCCUCACGGGGGGGUGUUAUAGCUUGGCGGUAUACCCCGGCGGGGACCGAGGUCCGCGCCCCGCGAGGACGCUGGCGUAAUGGCCAUCGGCGACCCGUCUUGAAACACGGACCAAGGAGUCAAGGUUUUGCGCGAGUGUACGGGUGUCAAGCCCGCACGCGCAAUGAAAGUGAACGCAGGUGGGAGCCUCGGCGCACCACCGACCGAUCCCGAUGUUCUCGGACGGAUUUGAGUAGGAGCGCGAUGCCUUGGACCCGAAAGAUGGUGAACUAUGCUUGGAUAGGGUGAAGCCAGAGGAAACUCUGGUGGAGGCUCGCAGCGGUUCUGACGUGCAAAUCGAUCGUCGAAUCUGAGCAUGGGGGCGAAAGACUAAUCGAACCAUCUAGU